rnacentral:rRNA from 1 species
CGAAAAGCUGUGCGUAAAGCUCGUAGUUGGAUUUCGGGGAGGUCUGAGCGGUCCGCCUCUGGUGAGCACUGCUCGUGCCUUCCUUUCUGUCGGGGACGGGCUCCUGGGCUUCACUGUCCGGGACUCGGAGUCGACGUGUUACUUUGAGUAAAUUAAAGUGUUCAAAGCAGGCUUACGCCUUGAAUACUUUAGCAUGGAAUAACACAAUAGGACUCUGGCCUAUCUUGUUGGUCUGUGGACCGGAGUAAUGAUUAAGAGGAACGGUCGGGGGCAUUUGUAUUUCUAUGUCUGAGGUGAAAUUCUUGGAUUUUCUAAAGACAAACAUCUGCAAAAGCGCUUGCCAAGGACGCUUUCAUUAAUCAAGAACGAAAGUUGGGGGCUCGAAGACGAUUAGAUACCGUCGUAGUCUCAACCAUAAACGAUGCCGACUAGGGAUUGGCAAGUGUUUUUUUAAUGACCUUGCCGGCACCUUAUGAGAAAUCAAAGUUUUUGGGUUCCGGGGGGAGUAUGGUCGCAAGGCUGAAACUUAAAGGAAUUGACAGAAGGGCACCACGAGGCGUGGAGCCUGCGGCUUAGUUUGACUCAUCACGGGAAAACUUACCAGGUCCAGACAUAGUGAGGAUUGACAGAUUGAGAGCUCUUUCUUGAUUCUAUGGGUGGUGGUGCAUGGCCGUUCUUACUUGGUGGGUUGCCUUGUCAAGUUGAUUCCGGUAACGAACGAGACCUCAACCUUUAAAUAGUCACGGUUGCUUUUUGCAUCUGGCCGACUUCUUACAGGGACAAUUAGCGUUCAGCUAAUGGAAGUAUGAGGCAAUAACAGGUCUGUGAUGCCCUUAGAUGUUCUGAGCCGCACGCGCGCUACACUGAUGCAUUCAACAAGCCUAUCCUUGACCGAGAGGUCCGGGUAAUCUUUGAAACUGCAUCGUGAUGGGGAUAGAUUAUUGCAAUUAUUAGUCUUCAACGAGGAAUGCCUAGUAAGCGCAAGUCAUCAGCUUGCGUUGAUUACGUCCCUGCCCUUUGUACCCACCGCCCGUCGCUCCUACCGAUUGGGUGUGCUGGUGAAGUGUUCCGAUAGCAGCUCUACGGUGGCACACUCUUGCUGCCGACAAGUUCAUUAAUCCUCCUACCUAAAUGAGAAAGUCGUAACAAGGCUUCCGUACGGUGAACCUG